CCUACGGGAGGCAGCAGUAGGGAAUCUUCGGCAAUGGACGAAAGUCUGACCGAGCAACGCCUCGUGAGUGAAGAAGGUUUUCGGAUCGUAAAACUCUGUUGUUAGAGAAGAACAAGGACGUUAGUAACUGAACGUCCCCUGACGGUAUCUAACCAGAAAGCCACGGCUAACUACGUGCCAGCAGCCGCGGUAAUACGUAGGUGGCAAGCGUUGUCCGGAUUUAUUGGGCGUAAAGCGAGCGCAGGCGGUUUCUUAAGUCUGAUGUGAAAGCCCCCGGCGCAACCGGGGAGGGUCAUUGGAAACUGGGAGACUUGAGUGCAGAAGAGGAGAGUGGAAUUCCAUGUGUAGCGGUGAAAUGCGUAGAUAUAUGGAGGAACACCAGUGGCGAAGGCGGCUCUCUGGUCUGUAACUGACGCUGAGGCUCGAAAGCGUGGGGAGCAAACAGGAUUAGAUACCCUUGUAGUC
rnacentral:rRNA from 1 species